AAGGAUUUAAGUUAAAUAAACUAAUAACCUUCAAAGUUAUCAAUAAAUAAUAAUUUAAGCCUUA
rnacentral:tRNA from 1 species